GAUGAACGCUGGCGGCGUGCCUAAUACAUGCAAGUCGAGCGAACGGACGAGAAGCUUGCUUCUCUGAUGUUAGCGGCGGACGGGUGAGUAACACGUGGAUAACCUACCUAUAAGACUGGGAUAACUUCGGGAAACCGGAGCUAAUACCGGAUAAUAUUUUGAACCGCAUGGUUCAAAAGUGAAAGACGGUCUUGCUGUCACUUAUAGAUGGAUCCGCGCUGCAUUAGCUAGUUGGUAAGGUAACGGCUUACCAAGGCAACGAUGCAUAGCCGACCUGAGAGGGUGAUCGGCCACACUGGAACUGAUACACGGUCCAGACUCCUACGGGAGGCAGCAGUAGGGAAGCUUCCGCAAUGGGCGAAAGCCUGACGGAGCAACGCCGCGUGAGUGAUGAAGGUCUUCGGAUCGUAAAACUCUGUUAUUAGGGAAGAACAUAUGUGUAAGUAACUGUGCACAUCUUGACGGUACCUAAUCAGAAAGCCACGGCUAACUACGUG
rnacentral:rRNA from 1 species